rnacentral:rRNA from 1 species
AACGAACGCUGGCGGCAGGCUUAACACAUGCAAGUCGAACGCUCGUAGCAAUACGGGAGUGGCGGACGGGUGAGUAACGCGUGGGAACGUGCCCUGAGGUACGGAAUAACUGCGGGAAACUGCAGCUAAUACCGUAUGAGCCCCGUGAGGGGAAAGGAUUUAUCGCCUUAGGAGCGGCCCGCGUCGGAUUAGCUAGUUGGUGGGGUAACGGGCUUACCAAGGCUUCGAUCCGUAGCUGGUCUGAGAGGACGAUCAGCCACACUGGGACUGAGACACGGCCCAGACUCCUACGGGAGGCAGCAGUGGGGAAUCUUGCGCAAUGGGGGCGAACCCUGACGCAGCCAUGCCGCGUGAAUGAUGAAGGCCUUAGGGUUGUAAAGUUCUUUUGCCCGUGACGAUGAUGAUGGUAACGGGAGAAUAAGCUCCGGCUAACUUCGUGCCAGCAGCCGCGGUAAAGUAUCG